GACACAUGUUUUACUUGGGUUCCACUGGGAACUCGAGCUCUUUCUCAGGCCCAUAGAGAGCAGAGCAGAAGCGCAAUAUCAGAAGGGCCAGAAAGUGGCACCCAGUGCAUACCAAGAUGGAGGGACAUGGGCCUGGGGGGUGGGUGGGACUGGGACCUGUGUGUUACACCCUUCCCUGCAACCUCUUUACUCUGUGGCCCCUCCUACUCUCUCCCCGUUUACCCACCACGCUGAGCUCUCAGGGCCCAUCAAACAGCCUUCAAAGCCGAGGACCCUCCAUGCCUAGGCUAGCUUCCCAACCCAAUCGAAUGAUCCACAGCCAUACCUGGUGCUAGAACGAGGUCACUUUAAUUUUUUUUUUGUAUGAAAUUGGAAAUGCAACGGGAGGGGGUCACACACAGGACACAGGACACAGAGCCUGGAGGCCCACUGUUGGGGGUAUGAGGAAGAAGUGAGAGUCAGGGAUCCCUGGGUGGCGCAGCGGUUGGCGCUGCCUUUGGCCCAGGGCGCGAUCCUGGAGACCAGGAUCGAAUCCCACAUCAGGCCCGGUGCAUGGAGCCUGCUUCUCCCUCUGCCUGUGUCUCUGCCUCUCUCUCUCUCUCUCUCUGUGACUAUCAUAAAUAAAUAAAAAAAAAAAUUAUAAAAAAAAAAAAAAAAAAAAGAAGUGAGAGGUCAUGGGAGAGGCCAGAGAGAAAAAGGCAGGCAGGACGGGGGGAACUGUCUGGGGGGAGGGAGCUACGGAAGGGCCCAGGAGCCCUGGAGCUGGGGCAGGGCACCAUCCCAGAGGACUGGGUGUCCGGACAUGUGGAUCUGAGGAAGGUGUGAGGGAGGAGGGAGCGUGGGAAGGGCAGUGGGCUCACUUCUUCUAUGCCGGGCCUCGGCCCUUCAUUCCACUGCUGACCCUGGGCUGCCGUGAGCAGACGGGCAAAGCCACAUUGGGGGGAUACAGAGAGCCUGGGGGUGGGGAGCGGGAUGGGGGGUGUCUUCCUUUGCUGAAGGCGAGCUGA
rnacentral:lncRNA from 1 species